ensembl:lncRNA
CGAGAGUUUGCGGGACACUUUUGAGAGUUUGUUACUUUUAAUCAAUUUCUUCGUUCUUUUUUAAGAUUCGUGGAAAAAAAGAUUAAUCUUAGACAUAAAUCUUUUUUGAGCGCCGACUUCGGUCGGAAAACUUUGACAAAUGGGGUGAAGGGGAGAUUUCUCACGCUUGACUCUGAGACAUGGAUUUAAAUGUACACCUGAUGACUCCGUAUCUGUGGAAGAUGUGCUGGUUGCAGUCAGUGAACAGAUGUGUUGUUAUCUCUAGCAUCCCUGCUGGUGCCUCUGCAAAUUACACCUGCAACAUGAGGGGUCGUCAUGUGAACAUCAUCAUUCCCAAUGUUAUCCAGGCUCUCACGCUCUGUGAAGUGGAAGUCUAUGGGGUUCCAGUGCCUGUUACUAAGAGGGCAUUUCUGAGAUUGAAGUUUAACAUCAGUGAGUAUCUUAUGAACCCUAC